rnacentral:lncRNA from 1 species
CUGGGUUUGGCAGUUGCCAGGAGAACGCAACCUGUCCGAAUGCAUUGUGCCAACUAUAAAGCUUGGUGGAGGAGGUAUAAUCGUCUAGGGCUAAGUUCCAGUGAAGAAUACUGCAGAUAAUUCCCAGAAUGCUCUUCGGGAUAGCUUGUUACCAUGGGAAUUUCCAAGGGUCCCAGGAGUUAAUGAGGACCAUAUGUUGACAUGUCAUGUCAAACAGCACUAUGGGAACGGUAUCCAUGCCAAUCACAGGGGACAAGAUGGUCAUGUGAAAUGGAGGGAUGGACGCCCCCUACUGGCUGAACAAGAUAAUGAAAGCCUUCAGUCUAUCAAAGUAAAAUACAGUCGUGAAACCGUUUAGAUUCCCAGGCUGUGGUUUCUGCAUGGUUUCCUAGUGUAAUAUUCAUUAUCAAGCAAUCCACUAUCCAAGAUGUUCCUUCCCACUAUGCAUCUCAACAUAGUGGACUUGUGAUUCUAUUAAACAGUCAUAUUCACCGAUAAUUUCAACUCAGAGCUACUGUUUCCAGAUGACCAUAAAUAACAAUGACCUGACAAACGUUUGUGUGUUCGAGGUCAUUUGAGGUAAUAGAGUUAUGUUUUUGAGAGGUUUUCCUGGAGAAACAGUUUCAUUUGAAAUGGUUUAUUCCAAAAAUCUAUAUUUAUAGUUAUGCAUCCAAGUUCACACAGGAAAUGUAAAAAUAGACAUUUCCCCACGGC